rnacentral:snRNA from 1 species
AUUGCUUCUUGGCCUUUGGGCUAAGAUCAAGUGUAGUAUCUGUUCUAAUUAGUUUAAUUAUUUGUUGUUUAUUGAUAUUUCUU